rnacentral:sRNA from 1 species
ACCUCGAAACCAGCCUCUGCCUGGGCUGUUGGGCGCGAGGAGGGUUGCGGGAGGAGAGUUUUAAUCUCUCUUUGCCUGCGUGCGCGAUGACCCCCUCACCCCCCGCUAACGCCGCGUGGUGUGUUUUCUCCGUCUCGCUGCUUCGCCUGUGAUGUGGGCUAAUUAAAUAUUUUAUUGUUGUUCUUCAGGCACCGCAUCAGCCUGCUCAACCCUUUAAAUUUACAAUUUCCGAAUCCUGUGAUCGGAUUAAGGAAGAGUUUCAGUUUUUACAGGCUCAAUACCACAGUCUGAAGCUGGAAUGUGAGAAACUCGCCAGUGAGAAGACAGAGAUGCAGCGGCAUUAUGUCAUGUAUUAUGAAAUGUCCUAUGGGUUGAAUAUAGAAAUGCACAAGCAGGCAGAGAUUGUCAAGAGGCUGAAUGCUAUCUGUGCGCAAGUCAUUCCUUUCCUGUCCCAAGAGCACCAGCAACAAGUGGUGCAGGCUGUGGAACGGGCCAAGCAGGUGACCAUGGCAGAACUGAACGCCAUCAUUGGG